UAAGACGUAGGAGACGAGCGUUAUCCGGAUUUACUGGGCGUAAAGCGCGUGCAGGCGGUCCAGCAAGUUGGAUGUGAAAGCUCCCGGCUUAACUGGGAGAGGUCGUUCAAUACUACUGGACUUGAGAGUGGUAGAGGGAGGUGGAAUUCCGGGUGUAGUGGUGAAAUGCGUAGAUAUCCGGAGGAACACCAGUUGCGAAAGCGGCCUCCUGGACCACUUCUGACGCUCAGACGCGAAAGCUAGGGUAGCGAACGGGAUUAGAGACCCCGGUAGUCCUAGCCGUAAACGAUGUAGACUUGGCGUUGGUGGGUUCAAAUCCAUCAGUGCCGAAGCUAACGCGAUAAGUCUACCGCCUGGGGACUACGGCCGCAAGGUUAAAACUCAAAGGAAUUGACGGGGCCCCGCAC
rnacentral:rRNA from 1 species